AGAGUUUGAUCCUGGCUCAGAACGAACGCUGGCGGCGUGCUUAAUACAUGCAAGUCGAACGAGAAAGUCCCUUCGGGGAUGAGUACAGUGGCAGACGGGUGAGUAAUGCAUAGGUAACCUGCCUCCGAGAUGGGGACAACCUUCCGAAAGGAGGGCUAAUACCGAAUGACACCACCGCUACAUAAGUAGCGGGGGUCAAAGGUGGCCUCUACUUGUAAGCUAUCGCUCGGAGAUGGGCUUAUGUGCCAUUAGUUUGUUGGUAGGGUAACGGCCUACCAAGGCGACGAUGGCUAGCUGAUCUGAGAGGUUGAUCAGCCACACUGGAACUGAGACACGGUCCAGACUUCUACGGAAGGCAGCAGUAGGGAAUUUUGCGCAAUGGAGGAAACUCUGACGCAGCGACGCCGUGUGAGUGAUGAAGGCUUUCGGGUCGUAAAGCUCUGUCAGAAGGGAAGAAUGACAAUCUGGCUAAUAUCCAGGUUGAGUGACGGUACCUUCAAAGGAAGCACCGGCUAACUACGUGCCAGCAGCCGCGGUAAUACGUAGGGUGCUAGCGUUGUUCGGAAUUAUUGGGCGUAAAGCGCGUGUAGGUGGCUUGUUAAGUCGGGUGUGAAAGCCCAGGGCUCAACCCUGGAAGGGCAUCC
rnacentral:rRNA from 1 species